AGCAGCCGCGGUAAUUCCAGCUCCAAUAGCGUAUAUUAAAGUUGUUGCAGUUAAAAAGCUCGUAGUUGAAUUUCGGGAUCGACAGGUUGGUCGCGCCUUCGGUGUGUACUGGUCUAGUCGGUUUCUCCCUUCUGACGAACCACGAUGUCAUUAAUUUGGUGUCGUGGGAAAUCAGGACUGUUACUUUGAAAAAUUAGAGUGUUUAAAGCAGGCAUUAGCUUGAAUACAUUAGCAUGGAAUAAUGAAAUAGGACGUUUGAUCCUAUUUUGUUGGUUUCUAGGAUCGACGUAAUGAUUAAUAGGGAUAGUU
rnacentral:rRNA from 1 species